rnacentral:rRNA from 1 species
UACGGAGGGUGCAAGCGUUAUCCGGAUUCACUGGGUUUAAAGGGUGCGUAGGUGGGCUAGUAAGUCCGUGGUGAAAUCCCUGAGCUUAACUUGGGAACUGCCAUUGAUACUAUUAGUCUUGAAUAUCGUGGAGGUAAGCGGAAUAUGUCAUGUAGCGGUGAAAUGCUUAGAUAUGACAUAGAACACCAAUUGCGAAGGCAGCUUACUACACAGUUAUUGACACUGAGGCACGAAAGCGUGGGGAUCAAACAGG